rnacentral:rRNA from 1 species
GAUGAACGCUAGCGGCAGGCUUAAUACAUGCAAGGCGAGGGGGCAGCAAUGCCACCGUCGUACGGGUGCGUAACGCGUAUGCAACCUACCUAUCACUGGGGGAUAGCCCGGGGAAACCCGGAUUAAUACCGCAUAAUACAGGGGGCCCACAUGGGUCUAUUUGUUAAAGAUUUAUCGGUGGUAGAUGGGCAUGCGUUCGA